UAUUUAUAUAAAAGACAGUUUUCUUCUCUCCUGGGGUGUCCACGUCGCCAUCCACGUCAUCAAUUCGCUGCAUGCCACGCCGCCACGUGUCCAGGAUGGUUAAACUCACCGUUUCAUUUAAUAUGUUGCGUGAUGAGCUUUAAUCGUUUAACGUGUGAUGGGCUUUUUAUCUAUACGAUGAUUCCGGCCCGAGUAGAUGAAGUGCGCCUCUAAUCCUAAUUUUGCUUAAUCCAGAAAUGAAGUUCGUCUCCUCUUCGUGUGAGACUCGGUGACGUCUGAGUUUCAUCGCCUGGCUUUCUACUUACCGACGACAGAAAUCUGGAGACGUUACGGAAUCUGGCUGAUUCCAAGCGUCAUCUUUAAGGCACUCAUUAACAAUCCUUUCUCAAUUACUUCUUUUCUGUGCAUUCUUGACUAUAAAUAGUGUAUUGCAGGCCACUUAUGCAAGCCACCGUCAACGUACGAUGUGUCACCGUCACCGUCAAGCGGACUGUUCAGAAUCACCAGCUGCAUCCAAGCGUCAGUAAGGAGUUGAAAGAGCCGGAGAAAGACCGUAAACAAAGUAAUAUUAGGGAUAUUUUUUGAAACAUGUGUCGUUGCUGGAUUCACUGUUGAUGGAAAUGAUUUUAAGGAUCUUUGGUAGGAUAUUCAAGAAGGUGAGAUCAAAUUUUUUUUUUUUAUCAGCAGGAAUGUGAGAUCAAUAUUCACGAUUACCUAGAAAAAAAACGCACACAGAAAAAGAUAAUUUAUGGGAAUUGAAAAGGUGAUGUCUUCUCUUCUUCAUUUUUACAUAGGGUGAGUUGCUAAGAUUCUUCCCUAAGAAUGAGUCAGUUUUUGAUUACUGUUGCGUUGAGUUCCUUCUGUUUUGCAAUCCCAAUCGUUUAUCAAAAUCUAUAUUACAUAGAUUUCUUGCAUAUAACUGUUUUCUCUCUUAGUCUCAUAUUUAACCCUUUUCCAGUGAACUAAUAUGAACUACAGUGAGGUGAAUUAUAUUUUCUUCUCCUCUUCUUUCCACAUACAAUAUCUUAACUUAUAUAAGAUCUUAGAUGCCCAUUAAAAUACUUUGGAUACAUUUUUGCUUCUUUUUUUUUCUGGUUUCCUGUGAACUGACCAAGUUGUCUUGAUUUGGUUUUUGUGUAGUGCUUUUGUACACUGGGAAAACGCUGAUGAUGUAGUUCGAGAAAAGGAGUAGCAGAGCUAAGGGUCUGACCUUCCACCCCAGAAAACCAAGAAAUCUUGCCAAAUUUCUCAGAGGUGUCAUCCAGCAAUGGUAUUAACAUGUUUGGUACAGAUGAAUCAGCAGGAACACAACUUGGGAUUUUUCUCACGUUUGAUUUUUUAAGUGACAAAAUAAUAACUUGGUUGUUUUAAGUGUAUAUAUAUGUAAGAACACUUCCUUUUAGCCAUGGACGGUGAUUAUUGUCAAAGAGAGUGUUGGCUGAAACAGAUGCAUCUGUAGGGAAGGGAUAACUGAUGUUAAUGCAGUGAGUUAUAUAUAUAAGAAUGUUUUUCCCCA